UUUAUUAGAGAGGCAGCUGGAGGGGAUAUCCUUUAUUAGAGAGGCAGUUGGAGGGGAUAUCCUUUAUUAGAGAGACAGUUGGAGGGUAUAUACGUUUUAAGAGAGGCAGUUGGAGGGGAUAUGCUUUAUUAGAGAGACAGUUGGAGGGGAUAUCCUUUAUUAGAGAGGCAGCUGGAGGGGAUAUCCUUUAUUAGAGAGACAGUUGGAGGGGAUAUCCUUUAUUAGAGAGGCAGUUGGAGGGGAUAUCCUUUAUUAGAGAG